rnacentral:piRNA from 1 species
UGCCAGGCCAGGUCCAUAUGCAGCCA